rnacentral:rRNA from 1 species
AACGAACGCUGGCGGCAGGCCUAACACAUGCAAGUCGAGCGCCCUUUCGGGGGAGCGGCGGACGGGUGAGUUGCGCGUGGGAAUAUGCCCUUCUCUACGAACUAGCCUCGGGCAUCUGAGAGUAAUACGGUAUACGCUCUAAGGGGGAAAGUUAUAUCGGGGAAGGAUUUGUCCGCGUUGGAUUAGGUAGUUGGUGGGGUAAUGGCCUACCAAGCCGACGAUCCAUAGCUGGUUUGAGAGAAUGAUCAGCCACACUGGGGCUGAGACACGGCCCAGACUCCUACGGAAGGCAGGAGAGGGGAAUCGUAGACAAUGGAGGCAACCCUGAUCUAGCCAUGCCGGGAAAGUGAUGAAGGCCUUAGGGUUGUAAAGCUCUUUCAGCUGAGAAGAUAAUGACGGUACCAGCAGAAGAAGCCCCGGCUAACUACGUG